AUUGAACGCUGGCGGCAUGCCUUACACAUGCAAGUCGAACGGAAACGGGCCUUCGGGUGCCGACGAGUGGCGAACGGGUGAGUAAUGCAUCGGAACGUACCUUUCAGUGGGGGAUAACGUAGCGAAAGUUACGCUAAUACCGCAUAUUCUGUGCGCAGGAAAGCAGGGGAUCGCAAGACCUUGCGCUGAUUGAGCGGCCGAUGUCAGAUUAGCUAGUUGGUGAGGUAAAGGCUCACCAAGGCGACGAUCUGUAGCGGGUCUGAGAGGAUGAUCCGCACACUGGAACUGAGACACGGUCCAGACUCCUACGGGAGGCAGCAGUGGGGAAUUUUGGACAAUGGGGGCAACCCUGAUCCAGCCAUGCCGCGUGAGUGAAGAAGGCCUUCGGGUUGUAAAGCUCUUUCGGCCGGGAAGAAAUCGCAUGGGUUAAUACCCUGUGCGGAUGACGGUACCGGCAUAAGAAGCACCGGCUAACUACGUGCCAGCAGCCGCAGUAACAC
rnacentral:rRNA from 1 species